UGGGGAAUAUUGCACAAUGGGCGCAAGCCUGAUGCAGCGACGCCGCGUGAGGGAUGAAGGCCUUCGGGUUGUAAACCUCUUUCGGCAGGGAAGAAGCGAGAGUGACGGUACCUGCAGAAGAAGCACCGGCUAACUACGUGCCAGCAGCCGCGGUAAUACGUAGGGUGCGAGCGUUGUCCGGAAUUAUUGGGCGUAAAGAGCUUGUAGGCGGUUUGUCGCGUCUGCCGUGAAAACUCAGGGCUUAACUCUGGGCGUGCGGUGGGUACGGGCAGGCUAGAGUGUGGUAGGGGAGACUGGAAUUCCUGGUGUAGCGGUGAAAUGCGCAGAUAUCAGGAGGAACACCGAUGGCGAAGGCAGGUCUCUGGGCCAUAACUGACGCUGAGAAGCGAAAGCAUGGGGAGCGAACA
rnacentral:rRNA from 1 species